rnacentral:rRNA from 2 species
UGCAAGUCGAACGCGUUGGCCCAAUUGAUUGAUGGUGCUUGCACCUGAUUGAUUUUGGUCGCCAACGAGUGGCGGACGGGUGAGUAACACGUAGGUAACCUGCCCAGAAGCGGGGGACAACAUUUGGAAACAGAUGCUAAUACCGCAUAACAACGUUGUUCGCAUGAACAACGCUUAAAAGAUGGCUUCUCGCUAUCACUUCUGGAUGGACCUGCGGUGCAUUAGCUUGUUGGUGGGGUAAUGGCCUACCAAGGCGAUGAUGCAUAGCCGAGUUGAGAGACUGAUCGGCCACAAUGGGACUGAGACACGGCCCAUACUCCUACGGGAGGCAGCAGUAGGGAAUCUUCCACAAUGGGCGCAAGCCUGAUGGAGCAACACCGCGUGAGUGAAGAAGGGUUUCGGCUCGUAAAGCUCUGUUGUUAAAGAAGAACACGUAUGAGAGUAACUGUUCAUACGUUGACGGUAUUUAACCAGAAAGUCACGGCUAACUACGUGCCAGCAGCCGCGGUAAUACGUAGGUGGCAAGCGUUAUCCGGAUUUAUUGGGCGUAAAGAGAGUGCAGGCGGUUUUCUAAGUCUGAUGUGAAAGCCUUCGGCUUAACCGGAGAAGUGCAUCGGAAACUGGAUAACUUGAGUGCAGAAGAGGGUAGUGGAACUCCAUGUGUAGCGGUGGAAUGCGUAGAUAUAUGGAAGAACACCAGUGGCGAAGGCGGCUACCUGGUCUGCAACUGACGCUGAGACUCGAAAGCAUGGGUAGCGAACAGGAUUAGAUACCCUGGUAGUCCAUGCCGUAAACGAUGAGUGCUAGGUGUUGGAGGGUUUCCGCCCUUCA